rnacentral:rRNA from 1 species
UAGGUCCUACGACGUACGAGUUAGGGUAGUACUACUGGCUCAGGAUGAACGCUAGCUACAGGCUUAACACAUGCAAGUCGAGGGGCAGCAUUGGAGUAGCAAUACUUCAGAUGGCGACCGGCGCACGGGUGAGUAACACGUAUCCAACCUGCCGCUUACUCGGGGAUAGCCUUUCGAAAGAAAGAUUAAUACCCGAUGGUAUAAAGAGUUCGCAUGUUCUCUUUAUUAAAGAAUUUCGGUAAGCGAUGGGGAUGCGUUCCAUUAGAUAGUUGGCGGGGUAACGGCCCACCAAGUCUACGAUGGAUAGGGGUUCUGAGAGGAAGGUCCCCCACAUUGGAACUGAGACACGGUCCAAACUCCUACGGGAGGCAGCAGUGAGGAAUAUUGGUCAAUGGACGCGAGUCUGAACCAGCCAAGUAGCCGUGAAGGAUGACUGCCCUAUGGGUUGUAAACUUCUUUUAUAAGGGAAUAAAGUGAGGGACGUGUCCCUUUUUGUAUGUACCUUAUGAAUAAGGAUCGGCUAACUCCGUGCCAGCCGCUGC